AUUGAACGCUGGCGGUAGGCCUAACACAUGCAAGUCGAACGCGAAAGUCCUUCGGGAUGAGUAGAGUGGCGGACGGGUGAGUAACGCGUAGGGAUCUAUCCUGUAGUGGGGGAUAACGUUUCGAAAGGAACGCUAAUACCGCAUAAGCCCCAAGGGGGAAAGCGGGGGAUCUUCGGACCUCGUGCUAUAGGAGGAGCCUGCGUCGGGUUAGCUAGUUGGUGAGGUAAAGGCUCACCAAGGCGACGAUCCGUAGCUGGUCUGAGAGGAUGAUCAGCCAAACCGGAACUGAGACACGGUCCGGACUCCUACGGGAGGCAGCAGUGGGGAAUAUUGCGCAAUGGGCGAAAGCCUGACGCAGCCAUACCGCGUGUGUGAAGAAGGCCUUCGGGUUGUAAAGCACUUUCAGUGGGGAGGAAAAGCUGGUGGCUAAUAUCCAUCGGCCGUGACGCUACCCACAGAAGAAGCACCGGCUAAUUCCGUGCCAGCCGCCGCCGUAACAC
rnacentral:rRNA from 1 species